GGCCUGGGUGUCGGUGUAGCCGCACAUGCGCCCUCGGCUUCUGGCAGUCUUUUUACGGGUUGCGUUCUUCUGGAGGUUACGGGAAGGAAGGCCGAGUGUGCGCAUGCGUGGGCACUCCCCGGCCUCGAACUUCGGUUAUCUUGGGGACUACGAGGCGCUCUCUCUUGGGUCUGGUUCUGCUUCCUCUUUGCUUGAGGCUGUGGCAGCUAAAACCGGUGGGGGGCGGUUGGAAACACUUUUAUUGAGCACGUACUGUGUCCCUAGCGCUGUAGAGCCCCCAAGGACGAGUAAGACAGGUUCUGGUGCCUGCCCUCGAGAAGCUUGGGGAGCCAAGGGCCUACGCAGGUGGCCCAGUGUUUCGUUGGUUCGAAUCCUGGGCGCGGACAUGGCACUGCUCAUCAAACCAUGCUGAGGCAGCGUCCCA
rnacentral:lncRNA from 1 species